rnacentral:rRNA from 1 species
AUGUUACUGCAAAAUAAAUUAAUUAGAGUGAGAAAGGGUCAUGUAAUUCCACCUACCGAAGAGUUGGGUAGGAGAGCUUAUUGCAAGUGGCACAAUUCUUUCUCUCAUGCUACUAAUGAUUGUAACAUGUUUCGUCAACAGGUGCAAUCGGCCAUUAAUGAAGGACGAUUGACGUUUACAGAAAGUUCUAAGAUGAAGCUCGAUAGUGAUGUUUUCCCUAUCAAUGUAGUCGAGCUUGAGAGUAAGAAAAUUCUUAUUCGGUCGGAUCAGACCGAAUCCGGAAGAAAGAAAAAUGUUGUUGAUGAUAAUGCUUCUCCAAGGAUGAUCAAACAAAAAAAUCCAGAAGUAGGAGUUUGGAAAGUCAAUGGAAGAAGGAAACAAGCUCCAAGACCAAAGCCGUCAGUUAGCAUGUUGUUGGAAAAGUACAACUCACGGAAGACCAGCAAUGUGUUUAAUCGGCUUGGAGAGAAUAAACGUCUUAGAUCUCCUUCUGGACCUGGCGGUCAUGAGCAAUGGCAAAGAAAUUUAAAUGACCAACAACCCUAUAUUGCAAUGGAGCUGACGUAUUGGGGUGGUGCACCUCCUAUGUACCCGCAGUUUCCUCCAUGGGGUUUUAAUCCUUGGGUGCCAUAUCCUACAGUGCUAGGUUAUUUUCACCCAAAAUGGGUUCCGCCGAGGCCUCUGUUCAGAGCAAACAUACAUGAGAAAAGGGCUCCGCUCAAUGAGGCAGCUAGAUCAUGUGAUGCAAUUGUUGUCCAAAGGGACCGGACAUCGGUACGCAGUGCAGAUGGUGAAGUUCAUGUAGGUGGUCAAAAAGUUAUGUGGGUGUCGAUCAAUCGUAGAAGUGAUGCGAAAGCACAUGAUGGGACUGUGCGUGGCUGCACCAAGAUUAGCGCAAUAAAAGAUAAUAGUUUACAAGAUGAUUUGCAGCCUAGUGUGCAGACACAUGUAGACAAGAAAAUUGUACGUACUAAUCAGUUGGUUGAUGCAUCUGCUGAUGAAUUUACUAGAGACAGUGGGAAAAUUGAAGCCAUAGGUACAGAGGAGAAUAGUGAUGGCGUGAAGUUGCAGCAAACCAUCCGACGUAAUCAGUUUGAAAAGGAAACUAAUUUUGGACAGAUCAAAGAAUUCAUUGUAUCCUCAUGUACUAAUCAACGGUCUAAAUCGGCAAGCUCAUAUGCUGAUUUAUUCAUGGGAGGUUGUGGCCCAGGAGCGUCCAAAAAUUUCAAAUCUAGCACUAAUUUGGAUUUAAGCAAUGUACGCGGCCAGAAAUUUAAAGCUAGUAAUGGACAUGAUCAGCAGAGAGGUAUUUCGGCCAGAGAUAAAAUAUUUGCCAUAAAAGCAGAAGUAUGUCAGUACAGGCCGAGAGACUCGGGGGGCAACAGAAUUAAGUCAGCUGCACUAGAGACUAAACCAAGACCUCGGUGGUGUCCAACGAGACUCACACACACUCAGAAACGACGUGUGCAGAGACUACGGACAUUUGAAAUGAAGGAAUAG